AUGUAUCUGAGUGCAUCAACCAAAUUUGAGAAGUAUUGUGACAGUUGGGUGAUGAAGGCUGAUCCUAGGACAUCUAUCUUGAGUGGAUCUGGAUGGUUGCAGGAGACUAUCAGUACACCGGGAGAGACCUUCACCAUGCUUAGAAUGAAGGCAACCGUAUUCUUUGAACUUCAUGACUUGUUGAAGGAUAAGUAUGGGCUGAGCCAUUCCCCUUUUGUUAGUAGUUAUGAGUCUCUUGCUAUGUUCUUGUGGACCUUGGGGGGUUGUGAAUCAAAUAGAAGAACCCAAAACCGUUUCAAGCAUUCCGCCGAUACAAUCCAUCGUAAAUUCCAUGAAGUACUACUUUGUGUGGUGAAGAUGUCAGCUGACUACAUCAAGCCUAAGGACCCAAAUUUUAGGACCGUGCAUCCAAGGAUUCGGAAUGACAAAAGGGCUUAUCCACACUUGAAAGACCGCAUUGGUGCAAUAGAUGGGACUCACAUUAGGGCUUCUAUUCCCGAGGCCGCACAAGUGAGGUACAUCAGAAGAACAGGAGCAAUAACUCAAAAUGUGAUGGCAAUAUGUGACUUCGAUAUGCAUUUCACGUAUGCAUCUAUUGGUCAACCUAGUUCUAUGCAUGACACAACUGUGCUAUAUACCGCAAUGCAUAUGGAUAAGGCCACCUUUCCCCAUCCUCCAAAGGGUAAGCAUUUUUGCUUGUUGCAACUUAUGUCUUAUGUCCAACAACUUACAUGCACCAUUCUCUCUAUUUUGUAG
rnacentral:rRNA from 1 species